GCUGGAACAUUGGAACAGCGGGCCGGAUCAUCUAAUUUGUCUCAAGAUAAUUAUGACAUCAUUAUUUGUGCUACUUUGUUGACUUUUGAUACAAGGAAGACAACAGAAAAAACCAAUUUAUUUGUGUGUAUUUUCUUAGAUGAUUUUUGUCAUCUGUUUGAAUUUUUUACUUGUUAAUUUCGACUGGAUUUAUGUACAGAAUGAAUGUAAUGCUUGCAAGUGUCGAUGUGAUACGUAAAGUUUGCUUGCGAAAUCCAAUUUAAGGAUAUCGUUAUUUUAAGAAUUGUAAAAUAUUAAAUCACUGUGAAAAAUAUUAUUGCCCAUCGUUGUAUUAUUAUAACUUUACAAAAUUUUAUUUUGUUGCUUUUCUAUUGAUAAACGUUAUUCUAAACGUUGGUAAUGAAGGGGCAAAAAUGACUUUACAUACAAAACUAAAGAUAAAAUUGUGUAUACUUUAAAGUUACAAUGACAGUAUUGUCAUUAUAGGUUAAAAAUAUUUUUUUUAAAAAAAAGACGAGAGUGGUUAAACACUUGAACCCGCUAUUUUUUGAACCUAAAACGCUUCAAAUGAAGUUGCAAAUGGCUGCUGGUUAAAAGACUUUAGGUGUUCCAAGCUGUAGUCUGUCUCUUGUUAGGCGUCGAAAAAAGUCAAUUAAUCGAAGUUGUCUAGUGCAGGCAUUACUCAAUCACAGCCAGAGGCGGAUCCGCUUGUUGGGCAGCGAGGGCAAUUAACUCCGGUGAAAAAAAAAAGGCUUAAAUUUAAUGUUAAUUUUGGAAUAAUUGUCUUUUAGUGGGAGAAAUUUGGUAAAGAAAUGAACCAAUUUUCUAAAUUUUCUUUUGCAGUGACGGUAAAUUAAGUAUUUUGCUACUCGAAAUAUGAACAGAACUAUUUUUUAUUAUUAUAAUAUUACCCCCAAUAAAUUAAUUUCUUGGAUUCGCCUCUUGUCACAUCUAAAAAGAUCAUUAGAAGCAUUGGUUUUGCGGAUAAGCUUUAAAGUGUCUGAUUUGUGUCUUGAUUUUGCCCUUUUCUUAACACAAAUAUCUAGGGGUAUAUUUAUCAAUUUGCUAUUUUGGUAGUUAUAAUAAAUUUAUUGUUAGAAGGAAGUGUAAAAAUUUGUUUAGUCUCUAUAUCUUAAGGUUAGUGUUCGUAUAGUUCCUGUAUUUUAAAAAUACUUCAAAAUAUUCUUACCAUCAAACUGUUGACAUCCCUUGUAAUAUUCUAAGCGAAUCCCACAUCAGCAAAAUAUGAAUGAGAUGAUGGGUUUAUAAAAGGUGAUUCACAUCUUAAUUGGGAAAAUGCAUUUUAGGGUUUAUAGGCGCCCUAAGAAUAAAAUCAUGCAAGUCUUAUUAAAGCCGAAAGCAGACCAUAUCUUGUCAGGUUUGGGUUGGGUCAUGACAUAUGAAAUCGCCAAUGCAACAACAUAUGAAAUCUCCAAUGCAACAACAUUUUAGAAGAGGUGGUGUGAAUGUGGGGGUGCAGCAGGUUAGAGUCUCCAUCGGAAGUCAAGGAUGGUACAAAGAGUGUUGCUGGGCAGUGGCAGAAGAGGAGGAACAAAGGAAAUUCAGCAAAAGCGGAGUCAAAAGGAAAAGGAGAGAGGCUGGAACAUUGGAACAGUGGGCCGGAUCAUCUAAUUUGUCUCAAGAUAAUUAAGACAUCACUAUUUGUGCUUCUUUGUUGAUUUUUGACACAAGGAAGACAACAGAAAAAAACCAAUUUCUUGGUGUGUAUUGUCUUAGAUGAUUCUUGUCAUCUGUUUGAAUUUUAUACUUGUUAGUUUCGACUGGAUUUAUGUACAGAAUGAAUGACGUGCUUGCAAAUGUCGAUGUGAUACGUAAUGUUUGCUUGCGAAAUUUAAGCAAAAUCGAAUUGAAUUUGAUUUUACAGCCGGAAAGAAAAAAUGGACAAACGGGAUGAAGCCAAAAUUUUUGAAAAAUCAUAAUAA
rnacentral:lncRNA from 1 species